GUUGCUAUCCAGGGAUCCCAGGGCGCACUGGAGACUGAGAUGAGACCAGGACAAAUAGAAUUGUUCAGCACUAUCAAAGCAUACGAAAAGCGAGAGAAACAAUUACAUUGAUUGUAUGAAAGGAAGAUGACAUGUUUUGCUGGAGUCCCUGGAAAGACUCUGGAUGGGGACUCACAAGUCUAAUCUACAGAUGAGAUUACAUGUAAGAGGUGUCCUCAUCCACCAUCUGGUCCCACCUUUCUUGGCAUCACUCAGGAAUCUGCUAAAGAGGAAACUUCUUGAGCCCCACUCCAAGCCCACUGGACCAGCGUCUGCGCAAAGGAAAGAGGAGACCCAUCAAGGUGGUACUGAACCUCACAGUAUCUAUGUCCACAGUGAAAAGCCAAAUGAGGACACAGUGGAAGGACUGGAAAAGCAGAGAGUGCAGAAAGCCUCUUCCCCGCAGAGUGCUUGGACCACAAGGACCACCGUGCUUGGCUUGAGACAAGGCAGCGUUUUGACAAUUGUUACCUCACCACAGCAAAAGAAAAUACAAGGACAAUCUGUGUGCAUGCUGGGUCCUAAUGUUUUCCUUCUACAUCUUGGUUCUAUUAUUCACACCCAAGGCUGUGUGCACUCAACACUAGGGUGAUUGACCCUGUUCCAGGAUCCAUCUCUCUCUCUCCGUUUAGUUUGUAAAUUCUGAGAACAGAGACUAAUGGGAUCUUAAUAUUGAUACUUUUAGCUGAGUACCUAGUUCUUCAUGAGGACCCAAUAAACAUAAGGAAAAGAGGCAGGCAGGGAGGAAGGCAGAUGGCUAAUAGAAGACAGUAUCCUUGCUCUCUGAUCUUGGACCACGAAGCCUCCCAGUCCCUCUCAAUUCAACACUGCAAACAACUAUCCUACAUCAUUCUUCCUUAAAUUCAAACCCUAAUGGUCCUAAUGGUUUUCUGGCAAGAGUCAACCUGAGCAGAAAAGAAUAAGAAAGUGGCUAUUGUUGGCCCACAGAACACAAGGUCUCUCUCUGGGGUACUGGUCACAGGUUACUGGCUGGGGUCACAGGCAAGAAGUUGACUUAGAUUUGUGGAGCUGUCAACAGGGCAGCUCCUGAAAACAAAGCCCAGGCUGGCAGGAACUCUUCCCAGGGUUGCUUAGCUGCAAACCAGCUGGACUUAGCCAGUGGUCACCUCCCUCAAUAACUAUAGCCUUUGGCAAACGUGGGUGUACAUUGCCACCCAGUGGUCAAGGUUGGUAACAGGACAAGGCUAAAAAAAUGCUGACAACCACAAUGUCCAGGGAACUGUAUGCGUGGGAAGAUAACGACUGGAAUUAUUUUAUUUAGCUUUUUGUCAGCUAACCAAAACACACAUUCAUGUUAUUGUGUAUAAAGUACUGUAGGAAACUCACUGCAGAAAGAGGAGACCCAAACUUUUAAAGAUGCUACCAUGUACUACUGGCCAAGAAUGGCCAGCUUAGGAAUUCAGCUCAGACCCCUGGGAUCCGAUCCAGAUGUUUGACCAGCUGGUCACAGAAGUCCCCUCC